rnacentral:rRNA from 1 species
UGGCGGGCGGGGCGGGAGCACGGGGGGACGGGGUGCAGCAGGCGCGAAACCUCCGCAAUGCGUGAAAGCGUGACGGGGUUACCCCGAGUGCCGUCUGCUGAAGAUGGCUUUUCCCCGGUGUAAUGAGCCGGGGGAAUAAGGGGAGGGCAAGACUGGUGUCAGCCGCCGCGGUAAUACCAGCUCCUCGAGUGGUGGGGAUGAUUAUUGGGCUUAAAGCGUUCGUAGCCGGCUUGGCAAGUCUUCCGUUAAAUCCGGCGGCCUAAUCGUCGGGCUGCGGGAGAUACUACUGGGCUGGGGGGCGGGAGAGGCCGACGGUAUUCUUGGGGUAGGGGUGGAAUCCUAUAAUCCCGGGAGGACCACCAGUGGCGAAGGCGGUCGGCCAGAACGCGCUCGACGGUGAGGGACGAAAGCUGGGGGAGCGAACCGGAUUAGAUACCCGGGUAGUCCCAGCUGUAAACGAUGCGGGCUAGGUGUUGGGAUGGUUACGUACCAUCUCGGGGCCGCAGGGAAGCCAUUAAGCCCGCCGCCUGGAAAGUACGGCCGCAAGGCUGAAACUUAAAGGAAUUGGCGGGGGAGCACUACAAGGGGUGAAGCUUGCGGUUCAAUUGGAGUCAACGCCGGGAACCUUACCGGGGGAGACAGCAGGAUGAAGGCCAGAUUGAAGGUCUUGCUGGACAAGCUGAGAGGUGCUGCAUGGCCGUCGCCAGUUCGUGCCGUGAGGUGUCCUGUUAAGUCAGGCAACGAUCGAGACCCGCGCCCCUACUUGCCACCGGGCCCCAGUGGAGCCCGAGCACAAUAGGGGGACCGCCACCGAGAAGGUGGAGGAAGGAGCGGGCCACGGCAGGUCAGUAUGGCCUGAAUCCCCCGGGCCACACGCGAGCUGCAAUGGCGGGGACAGAGGGUUCCAACACCGAGAGGUGGAGGUAAUCUCUAAACCCCGUCGUAGUUGGGAUCGGGGGCUGCAACCCGCCCCCGUGAACCUGGAAUCCCUAGUAACCGCGUGUCAUCACCGCGCGGUGAAUACGUCCCUGCUCCUUGCACGAAUUCGCCGA